AAAGUAGACCCUGUCUUAAAAAUUGAUGAGACUUUUUUAAGCAGGCUGAAUCUAUGUGAGUAAUUAUACGAUUGGUUUAAUUUUUAGAGAGAGGCUUAAAACUGGAAAGAUUGAAAACCCUCCAUAUUCACUUCAGAGUCUGAAUGAGAAAUACAAAUUUGGGAUGCCUAAAUCAAUGUUAAAGCCGAUGAUAAUGGAUGCAGUGAAGUUGAUUGAGAAAGUGUUGAGGUUAGAUGGAGAUGAUAAUGUGGCAGACUGGUUAGCUACAUACAGGAGAAGUAGGGCACUCAGCACUU